ensembl:lncRNA
CUCUGUUUAACAGCACCAAGUUAAAAACAAAAUUCUACACAUCAAACUUUCUUUGAUGAGAUCAUCAUCAGGCGAUUCAACGCCGGUAGGGAGAGGGAGAGGACAGAGAGGCAGUGGAUCGGUGGGAGCUAGGCGAGGAGGACGACGAGGAAGAGGAGAACGAGAGUCAAGAGAAGAUCUUGAUAGGAUUGAAGGUUUCCAAAGGCAGAGAAGAGAAGCGACAGAGAGAUUACUGCAGGAGAUGAGCCUUGAGGAUCACAGACGCCUCGCAGCAGGAAUGUUGGAGAGGCAGCCGGGUCUGAUUUUUGAUCUUCUGCUGUUGCAUCAGCAAAGACAUCUGCGGAGGUACCGGGGGUACCGUGGUGUACCUGUGGUAAGUGCAGUGACAUGCCGACGGACAGGGAGAGGAAAUGCUGUGUCCAAGACCCUGUCCACUGUGUGAGCCUCCUGCCCCAUUUCACACAGUACUGCCUGGGUGAGGGUUACCUGCGGAUCCAUAGGCAGUACCGGGAGAACCUCACUGCCUUAGGAAAUGUAAGGGAGCCCGGCGAGGACAACAGGGAAUACAGGCAUGCAGCUUACAGGCAUUAUAUUUUCUGGCAGCGUGGCGCAUUAGGACAGGGGAACCGGAGAGUGAUUCCCAGCUGCUGUGUUGGAGAAUUAGGGACAAAUUCCCUGACCCUCAGGGACAAUACACAGGCUACAUUCCAGGGAUCUGAGAGAUUGGCCUGAGUAGUGUUGUAAAUAUUUGGAGUAAAUAGUAAAGUUAUAUUUAUAUCUAUUUAGUAUUCUUUUGAGUUCUGUUUUUUGUUACGAAG